rnacentral:rRNA from 1 species
CGUGCUUAACACAUGCAAGUCGAACGAUGAAGCUGGGUGCUUGCACCUGGUGGAUUAGUGGCGAACGGGUGAGUAACACGUGAGCAAUCUGCCCUUGACUCUGGGAUAAGCGUUGGAAACGACGUCUAAUACCGGAUACGACCCUCGGAGGCAUCUCCUGGGGGUGGAAAGAAUUUUGGUCAAGGAUGAGCUCGCGGCCUAUCAGCUUGUUGGUGAGGUAAUGGCUCACCAAGGCGACGACGGGUAGCCGGCCUGAGAGGGUGACCGGCCACACUGGGACUGAGACACGGCCCAGACUCCUACGGGAGGCAGCAGUGGGGAAUAUUGCACAAUGGGCGAAAGCCUGAUGCAGCAACGCCGCGUGAGGGAUGACGGCCUUCGGGUUGUAAACCUCUUUUAGUAGGGAAGAAGCGAAAGUGACGGUACCUGCAGAAAAAGCACCGGCUAACUACGUGCCAGCAGCCGCGGUAAUACGUAGGGUGCAAGCGUUGUCCGGAAUUAUUGGGCGUAAAGAGCUCGUAGGCGGUUUGUCGCGUCUGCUGUGAAAUCUGGGGGCUCAACCCCCAGCCUGCAGUGGGUACGGGCAGACUAGAGUGCGGUAGGGGAGAUUGGAAUUCCUGGUGUAGCGGUGGAAUGCGCAGAUAUCAGGAGGAACACCGAUGGCGAAGGCAGAUCUCUGGGCCGUAACUGACGCUGAGGAGCGAAAGCAUGGGGAGCGAACAGGAUUAGAUACCCUGGUAGUCCAUGCCGUAAACGUUGGGAACUAGAUGUG